GCCUGUGGGUUCGCAGCCCUAAAUACCGACGUUCCGGAUCACGCUUGCACUUACCCUCCAAACCCCAACCCUUGUGUAUCUUACCUCUGUUGCCUCGGCGGGUACGCCCGCCGGUGGACGCAAACUAAACUCUUGUUGUAACGGCGUCGUCUGAGCAAACAAAUGCAAUAGUUAAAACUUUCAACAACGGAUCUCUUGGUUCUGGCAUCGAUGAAGAACGCAGCGAAAUGCGAUAAGUAGUGUGAAUUGCAGAAUUCAGUGAAUCAUCGAAUCUUUGAACGCACAUUGCGCCCUUUGGCAUCCCGAAGGGCAUGCCUGUUCGAGCGUCAUUUCACCCCUCAAGCCUAGCUUGGUGUUGGGAGACGUCCACACUCUACGGUGUAGACCCUCCUCAAAAUCAUCGGCGAUUCGAUGUCGGCUCUGAGCGUAGCACAAACCUCGCUCUGUGGGUUCGGCAUUGCGUCAGCCGCAAACAUCUUCUAAAGGUUGACCUCGGAUCAGGUAGGGAUACCCGCUGAACUUAAGCAUAUCAAUAAGCGGAGGAAAAGAAACCAACAGGGAUUGCCUUAGUAACGGCGAGUGAAGCGGCAACAGCUCAAAUUUGAAAUCUGGCCCUCUGGGUCCGAGUUGUAAUUUGUAGAGGAUGCUUCGGCGUUGGACCCGACCUAAGUUCCUUGGAACAGGACGUCACAGAGGGUGAGAAUCCCGUACGUGGCCGGUGUCCCUCGCCAUGUGAAGCUCCUUCGACGAGUCGAGUUGUUUGGGAAUGCAGCUCUAAAUGGGAGGUAAAUUUCUUCUAAAGCUAAAUACUGGCCAGAGACCGAUAGCGCACAAGUAGAGUGAUCGAAAGAUGAAAAGCACUUUGGAAAGAGAGUUAAAAAGUACGUGAAAUUGUUGAAAGGGAAGCGCUUGCAAUCAGACCUGCCCGCGGUCGCUCAUCCAGGCUUCUGCCUGGUGCACUCUUCCGCGGUCAGGCCAGCAUCGGUUCGGGCGGUCGGACAAAGACGGCGGGAAUGUAGCUCCCCUCGGGGAGUGUUAUAGCCCGCCGUGUAAUGCGGCCAGUCCGGACCGAGGUCCGCGCU
rnacentral:rRNA from 1 species